CGGGCUAACCUUUGCUAGAUUCCUCUGCAUGACCAACAUCGGAUCAUGCAAUCAUGUGCUACGAGUGAGUCCUCACUCGCAUUCAAUCCCGGGCUAAGGCGACAUCCCCGUCGACGGAAUUGCACCUGAUGAUGCAUUGGAGCUUUCUUCUCAUGGUCUGAUGCCCGAAGAGUGGGGAGGUGAUUACCCAUGGUGAAGUUAAGUUUUUUACUUAUCAAAAUGAUCUCAAAAGCAUUCCCAAUUGGAAUAUAUGUUUUGAGAAUCUUAAGAAUGUAGCAUUUUGCAAAUGUUAGAAAUUGCAUGUUCAGUAAUCAAGUGUUUCUUUGUCUUCAUUUUAAGAGUUCAAUCGAAUUCUGCCAACAAAUAUUGUACACAUUCUUUUAGUAUGCUUAAGCCAAUAUUGCGAGUUUUGCCUUCCUAGUACAUAGUUCAAAGGGCUAAACCUCCAAGCUCGAACGAGGCCCACGGAGACUCAAACGAAGCUCUAGGCGGAAAGGUUUAAGAUAAAAAUUAAGAAGCUGUUAGUCUCUUCAGCAACUUAAUUGUUUGUAAAAUGAUUGCAAGGGAUAAAGAUUUUUAGUUUUCUACUC